rnacentral:rRNA from 1 species
UGUGAAGAUGCAGUGUACCCGCGGCAAGACGGAAAGACCCCGUGAACCUUUACUAUAGCUUGACACUGAACAUUGAGCCUUGAUGUGUAGGAUAGGUGGGAGGCUUUGAAGUGUGGACGCCAGUCUGCAUGGAGCCGACCUUGAAAUACCACCCUUUAAUGUUUGAUGUUCUAACGUGGACCCGUAAUCCGGGUUGCGGACAGUGUCUGGUGGGUAGUUUGACUGGGGCGGUCUCCUCCUAAAGAGUAACGGAGGAGCACGAAGGUUGGCUAAUCCUGGUCGGACAUCAGGAGGUUAGUGCAAUGGCAUAAGCCAGCUUGACUGCGAGCGUGACGGCGCGAGCAGGUGCGAAAGCAGGUCAUAGUGAUCCGGUGGUUCUGAAUGGAAGGGCCAUCGCUCAACGGAUAAAAGGUACUCCGGGGAUAACAGGCUGAUACCGCCCAAGAGUUCAUAUCGACGGCGGUGUUUGGCACCUCGAUGUCGGCUCAUCACAUCCUGGGGCUGAAGUAGGUCCCAAGGGUAUGGCUGUUCGCCAUUUAAAGUGGUACGCGAGCUGGGUUUAGAACGUCGUGAGACAGUUCGGUCCCUAUCUGCCGUGGGCGCUGGAGAACUGAGGGGGGCUGCUCCUAGUACGAGAGGACCGGAGUGGACGCAUCACUGGUGUUCGGGUUGUCAUGCCAAUGGCACUGCCCGGUAGCUAAAUGCGGAAGAGAUAAGUGCUGAAAGCAUCUAAGCACGAAACUUGCCCCGAGA